rnacentral:rRNA from 1 species
CUACGGGGCGCUGCAGUGGGGAAUAUUGCACAAUGGGCGCAAGCCUGAUGCAGCCAUGCCGCGUGUAUGAAGAAGGCCUUCGGGUUGUAAAGUACUUUCAGCGGGGAGGAAGGGAGUAAAGUUAAUACCUUUGCUCAUUGACGUUACCCGCAGAAGAAGCACCGGCUAACUCCGUGCCAGCAGCCGCGGUAAUACGGAGGGUGCAAGCGUUAAUCGGAAUUACUGGGCGUAAAGCGCACGCAGGCGGUUUGUUAAGUCAGAUGUGAAAUCCCCGGGCUCAACCUGGGAACUGCAUCUGAUACUGGCAAGCUUGAGUCUCGUAGAGGGGGGUAGAAUUCCAGGGGUAGCGGUGAAAUGCGUAGAGAUCUGGAGGAAUACCGGUGGCGAAGGCGGCCCCCUGGACGAAGACUGACGCUCAGGUGCGAAAGCGUGGGGAGCAAACAGGAUUAGAUACCCGUGUAGUC